rnacentral:rRNA from 1 species
ACCUGGCUCAGAUUGAACGCUGGCGGCAGGCUUAACACAUGCAAGUCGAGCGGGGGAAGGUAGCUUGCUACUGGACCUAGCGGCGGACGGGUGAGUAAUGCUUAGGAAUCUGCCUAUUAGUGGGGGACAACAUCUCGAAAGGGAUGCUAAUACCGCAUACGUCCUACGGGAGAAAGCAGGGGAUCUUCGGACCUUGCGCUAAUAGAUGAGCCUAAGUCGGAUUAGCUAGUUGGUGGGGUAAAGGCCUACCAAGGCGACGAUCUGUAGCGGGUCUGAGAGGAUGAUCCGCCACACUGGGACUGAGACACGGCCCAGACUCCUACGGGAGGCAGCAGUGGGGAAUAUUGGACAAUGGGGGGAACCCUGAUCCAGCCAUGCCGCGUGUGUGAAGAAGGCCUUAUGGUUGUAAAGCACUUUAAGCGAGGAGGAGGCUACUUUAGUUAAUACCUAGAGAUAGUGGACGUUACUCGCAGAAUAAGCACCGGCUAACUCUGUGCCAGCAGCCGCGGUAAUACAGAGGGUGCGAGCGUUAAUCGGAUUUACUGGGCGUAAAGCGUGCGUAGGCGGCUUAUUAAGUCGGAUGUGAAAUCCCCGAGCUUAACUUGGGAAUUGCAUUCGAUACUGGUGAGCUAGAGUAUGGGAGAGGAUGGUAGAAUUCCAGGUGUAGCGGUGAAAUGCGUAGAGAUCUGGAGGAAUACCGAUGGCGAAGGCAGCCAUCUGGCCUAAUACUGACGCUGAGGUACGAAAGCAUGGGGAGCAAACAGGAUUAGAUACCCUGGUAGUCCAUGCCGUAAACGAUGUCUACUAGCCGUUGGGGCCUUUGAGGCUUUAGUGGCGCAGCUAACGCGAUAAGUAGACCGCCUGGGGAGUACGGUCGCGAGACU